GGGUUGUGAGGUUAAGCGACUAAGCGUACACGGUGGAUGCCCUGGCAGUCAGAGGCGAUGAAGGACGUGCUAAUCUGCGAAAAGCGUCGGUAAGGUGAUAUGAACCGUUAUAGCCGGCGAUGUCCGAAUGGGGAAACCCAGUGCAAUUCGUUGCACUAUCGUUAACUGAAUACAUAGGUUAACGAGGCGAACCGGGGGAACUGAAACAUCUAAGUACCCCGAGGAAAAGAAAUCAACCGAGAUUCCCCCAGUAGCGGCGAGCGAACGGGGAGCAGCCCAGAGUCUGAAUCAGCUUGUGUGUUAGUGGAACGGUCUGGAAAGUCCGACGGUACAGGGUGAUAGUCCCGUACACCAAAAUGCACAGGCUGUGAACUCGAAGAGUAGGGCGGGACACGUGGUAUCCUGUCUGAAUAUGGGGGGACCAUCCUCCAAGGCUAAAUACUCCUGACUGACCGAUAGUGAACCAGUACCGUGAGGGAAAGGCGAAAAGAACCCCGGCGAGGGGAGUGAAAAAGAACCUGAAACCGUGUACGUACAAGCAGUGGGAGCACCUUCGGGUGUGACUGCGUACCUUUUGUAUAAUGGGUCAGCGACUUAUAUUCUGUAGCAAGGUUAACCGUAUAGGGGAGCCGCAGGGAAACCGAGUCUUAACUGGGCGUUAAGUUGCAGGGUAUAGACCCGAAACCCGGUGAUCUAGCCAUGGGCAGGUUGAAGGUUGGGUAACACUAACUGGAGGACCGAACCGACUAAUGUUGAAAAAUUAGCGGAUGACUUGUGGCUGGGGGUGAAAGGCCAAUCAAACCGGGAGAUAGCUGGUUCUCCCCGAAAGCUAUUUAGGUAGCGCCUCGUGAAUUCAUCUUCGGGGGUAGAGCACUGUUUCGGCUAGGGGGUCAUCCCGACUUACCAACCCGAUGCAAACUACGAAUACCGAAGAAUGUUAUCACGGGAGACACACGGCGGGUGCUAACGUCCGUCGUGAAGAGGGAAACAACCCAGACCGCCAGCUAAGGUCCCAAAGUCAUGGUUAAGUGGGAAACGAUGUGGGAAGGCACAGACAGCCAGGAUGUUGGCUUAGAAGCAGCCAUCAUUUAAAGAAAGCGUAAUAGCUCACUGGUCGAGUCGGCCUGCGCGGAAGAUGUAACGGGGCUAAACCAUGCACCGAAGCUGCGGCAGCGACACUAUGUGUUGUUGGGUAGGGGAGCGUUCUGUAAGCCUGCGAAGGUGUGCUGUGAGGCAUGCUGGAGGUAUCAGAAGUGCGAAUGCUGACAUAAGUAACGAUAAAGCGGGUGAAAAGCCCGCUCGCCGGAAGACCAAGGGUUCCUGUCCAACGUUAAUCGGGGCAGGGUGAGUCGACCCCUAAGGCGAGGCCGAAAGGCGUAGUCGAUGGGAAACAGGUUAAUAUUCCUGUACUUGGUGUUACUGCGAAGGGGGGACGGAGAAGGCUAUGUUAGCCGGGCGACGGUUGUCCCGGUUUAAGCAUGUAGGUUGGUUAUCCAGGCAAAUCCGGAUAAUCAAGGCUGAGGUGUGAUGACGAGGCACUACGGUGCUGAAGUAACAAAUGCCCUGCUUCCAGGAAAAGCCUCUAAGCAUCAGGUAACAUCAAAUCGUACCCCAAACCGACACAGGUGGUCAGGUAGAGAAUACCAAGGCGCUUGAGAGAACUCGGGUGAAGGAACUAGGCAAAAUGGUGCCGUAACUUCGGGAGAAGGCACGCUGGUGUGUAGGUGAAGCCCCUGCGGGUGGAGCUGAGACCAGUCGAAGAUACCAGCUGGCUGCAACUGUUUAUUAAAAACACAGCACUGUGCAAACACGAAAGUGGACGUAUACGGUGUGACGCCUGCCCGGUGCCGGAAGGUUAAUUGAUGGGGUUAUCCGUAAGGAGAAGCUCUUGAUCGAAGCCCCGGUAAACGGCGGCCGUAACUAUAACGGUCCUAAGGUAGCGAAAUUCCUUGUCGGGUAAGUUCCGACCUGCACGAAUGGCGUAAUGAUGGCCAGGCUGUCUCCACCCGAGACUCAGUGAAAUUGAACUCGCUGUGAAGAUGCAGUGUACCCGCGGCAAGACGGAAAGACCCCGUGAACCUUUACUAUAGCUUGACACUGAACAUUGAGCCUUGAUGUGUAGGAUAGGUGGGAGGCUUUGAAGCGUGGACGCCAGUCUGCGUGGAGCCAACCUUGAAAUACCACCCUUUAAUGUUUGAUGUUCUAACGUUGGCCCCUGACCGGGGUUGCGGACAGUGUCUGGUGGGUAGUUUGACUGGGGCGGUCUCCUCCCAAAGCGUAACGGAGGAGCACGAAGGUUAGCUAAUCCUGGUCGGACAUCAGGAGGUUAGUGCAAUGGCAUAAGCUAGCUUGACUGCGAGCGUGACGGCGCGAGCAGGUGCGAAAGCAGGUCAUAGUGAUCCGGUGGUUCUGAAUGGAAGGGCCAUCGCUCAACGGAUAAAAGGUACUCCGGGGAUAACAGGCUGAUACCGCCCAAGAGUUCAUAUCGACGGCGGUGUUUGGCACCUCGAUGUCGGCUCAUCACAUCCUGGGGCUGAAGUAGGUCCCAAGGGUAUGGCUGUUCGCCAUUUAAAGUGGUACGCGAGCUGGGUUUAGAACGUCGUGAGACAGUUCGGUCCCUAUCUGCCGUGGGCGCUGGAGAAUUGAGGGGGGCUGCUCCUAGUACGAGAGGACCGGAGUGGACGCAUCACUGGUGUUCGGGUUGUCAUGCCAAUGGCACUGCCCGGUAGCUAAAUGCGGAAGAGAUAAGUGCUGAAAGCAUCUAAGCACGAAACUUGCCCCGAGAUGAGUUCUCCCUGAGACUUUAAGUCUCCUGAAGGAACGUUAAAGACGAUGACGUUGAUAGGCCGGGUGUGUAAGCGCAGCGAUGCGUUGAGCUAACCGGUACUAAUGAACCGUGAGGCUUAACCUUACAACGCCGAAG
rnacentral:rRNA from 1 species